rnacentral:tRNA from 1 species
GGCCUCUUAGCUCAACUGGUAGAGCGUGCGUUGUACAAAACCGUAAGCGUCGUCCAUGUGUGGGUACGAAUUCCACCGAGGCUA